UUUCUGGGUGUUUUGAUCCUGACAUCACCAAACUCUCAAAUUUGCUGAAUUGGGGAUCUUGCCUGUAUGACCCAUGAAAUGUCCCAAAAGCUGAUUGAUGCCUUUGUGCUCCUGUUGUGUUCAUUUGGGCUGUGCUUCAGGCUUCUCUCCCUGGGCUCUUGCAGUUGCUGUAUCUCUUGGAUGCCGUGCAAAAUGGAAUCAGGCAGCCAAACCUCAGGUUCACCUUCUCCCUGACCCUCUAUGUUGCUCGUGUGGCACAGCAGAUCCUGAAGCCAAGUACUGGAACUUGCUGUGUGUGUCACUGCUGGGGUGAAAAACAGAGCCUUGAGGAGUGUUGAUCUCCUCACCUGCUUUGUGCUCAUUCACUCUUGACUGAGCUUUUCCUUCUAGGGAAGAGAAGGGGAAGGUGGGCAGCAAACGAAUGAGCCUCAGAGCAAAGGCCUUCUGCAGUUGCUGGGCUGUUCUCCCGGCUUGGAGCACUGCACACUCACUACAGCUUCCACGUAUGGUUGUCCGUGGUUGUGGAUUGGGAGCACUGUCCUCCUCCACCAUGCCAGCUUUUUCUCUUCACAGAGGAGCACAUGUACAUAAGGGCAAACAGAUUCCUUCUGUCACACUAGUAUUUGGACUGAGGAAGGUACCAGGUUUUUUCCAGCUUUUCCACAGUUCUGAUUUUGAGAAAACAGAGUGUGAGUGGAUCCUCAGAUUUCUUGAAGAAAGGCUGUGUAACAAACAUUGCUAUGAGCUUUAUGACUACCAGAGGAUUUUCCGGGUCAUUUUUUACUUUUUCAACAGUCCUUUGUGUGACGAGGGCUCCCAGGACUAAUGUAGAUCUGGCCAAGCUGACUUGAGUUGUUUGGCACCCUCAGCUCUGUGCUGGAAUACCGUGCUGUUGUUGUGGAGGCUUUUAGGGAGAUGAGGCGUUUCACAGUCAACAACAGCGUCCUCUCCAGCAGGGAGCUGCUGCUGCACAAGUGGAGCCUUGUCAGCAAAGACCUGCAGCUGCAGGAGACCUGCAGGCCCUGGCUCAGAAGUACCGAAACAAAGAAUUGCUCAAAUUAAAGAAAAGAACAAAUCUCAAGCCUCAUCUCAUGUGUAUCAUCACACUUGGAAACGAACAAGGUGGAAGAAGAUGACACUGCUGCAGACGUGGAAAUGUCUGAGCUGGAGAAGUGCAGAGAACAUCUGAAUUCCAUACUUGCCCAUUGGGACUGUGAUAAAUGGAUGUGAUUUGUGCUGAAUAAGUUGUACUUAUAUCAAUAAUUUGGGAAAAUAAUUGGAAAAGUAUAUGUGAUCAGUGUUAAGAAGCAGAUGGGUUUCUUCAAGAAUACAUGUGGAAAGUAGGAUGCAGGAGCUGGAUUCAGCCUUGGGAAUGGAGGAAGUCAGGAACUGACUCCCAAACCAAAACUGGCAUCAACUGUAGUUAAAAAAUAACUCCCAGAGCAGGAUCGACCUUGAAUAUUAAUGAAAUUGGGACCAUUCCAGAUAGGGAACCUAAAAUAGUGGUCUUAUCUAUGAAGUAAUAAGGCUCAAUUGGAACAUAAUGCAUCAAGCUCAAUGUGCAUGCGCAACCUGCCAGGUCAUUCAGAGGACAGGGAGGAAGACCUUCGGCCUUCCUCCAGGAAGACCUCCGAAGAGACCAGAACAGCCCCUAGCAACAGUAGGAGCAUGCGCUGUGCAGUAGAGUGACAAAGAUUUCAAGAAACGAAAAUAGGAGGAACUAUUGAUGAGUAUGUAUUAGCAUACCAUAUAAAAGUUGUGCUUGGAUUCUUUUGCCCUUUGUACGGGUGGCAGGGUGGAAAGCCCUCCCUGUUUCGCUUAUGCUUUAUCCGAACCAUUGCCAAAUAACUCUUUGUAACCACUUUGUUGUAUUUGAUUGUACCCCAAUUAAAAAUUGCCGCUAAA